rnacentral:rRNA from 1 species
UACGUAGGUCACAAGCGUUAUCCGGAAUUAUUGGGCGUAAAGGGUUUCUAGGUGGUAAAGCGGGUUUUCGGUAAAAGCCCCAAGCUUAACUUGGGUUUCGCCGAGAAAACUACUUUGCUUAGAGGGUAGCAGGGGCACAUGGAAUUCCCGGUGUAGCAGUGAAAUGCGUUGAUAUCGGGAAGAACACCAAUGGCGAAGGCAGUGUGCUAGGCUACUCCUGACACUGAAGAACGAAAGCGUGGGGAGCGAACGGG